AGCGAACGCUGGCGGCAGGCUUAACACAUGCCAGUCGAGCGGGCACUUUCGGGUGUCAGCGGCGGACGGGUGAGUAACGCGUGGGAACGUACCCUCUGGUUCGGAAUAAAUCAGGGAAACUUGAGCUAAUACCGGAUACGCCCUUUUGGGGAAAGGCUUUCUGCCGGAGGAUGGGCCCGAGUCUGAUUAGCUAGCUGGUGAGGUUACGGCUCACCAAGGCGACGAUCAUAAGUGGGGCUGUGAGGAUGAUCAACGACACUGGGGCUGAGACACGGCCCAGACUCCUACGGGAGGCAGCAGUGGGGAAUAUUGGACCAUGGGCGCAAGGAUGAUCCAGCCCUGCCGGGUGAGCGAUGAAGGCCUUAGGGUUGUAAAGUUCUUUUAUCCGGGACGAUAAUGACGGUACCGAAGCAAUAAGCCCCGGCUAACUUCGUG
rnacentral:rRNA from 1 species